rnacentral:lncRNA from 7 species
ACACACUCUGGCACUGAAUAACGUUAAAAAGAAAAAAAAAUCCGACAAACUUUUGAAGCGGAAUAUUUUUGUUAUUGUUGUUUUCGUAAGAGGUUCUGAGAGUGUCUAAGUUUGCAUGCAUGAAACAGUACCUUCCAAGUCGGUCUUGCGGUUGGCUAAAGCUCUUCACAUUUUCUAUUGAAAAAUUAACUGUCUCUACCACAGAGUUUUCUAUUGCACCCAAUGGCCCCUUGGCUAACUCAACAAUUCUUUUAGUAGAAGCAACAAGAAGGCUAGAAGAAAAUGGACAUGCAAGAGCUGUAAGAAAGCAUCAGCUGUGGCAAAGGAAAAGGAAAGCUGCGUCUCUGCUCAAAAGGAUGCCAGUAUAAGAUGGACAGCACUUCGUAACAGCGGUUCCUCUGACAAACCUUAGAGUGAGAAGAACAUCUUUGUCGACCUUGGUACAACUGAGAUCCUCAGGAAAUCUCAGUUCUGAGAAAACAGGAGGUCUCCAAGCUGCAGUUUCAGGGUGUCAAGCACAAGAAUUGAUCUACUGAGGAAGCCAGUUAUUCUCCCUCCGCAGUCAACAAAAAGGGAGAAGAUCUCUCCAAGAGCAACCAUCCUCAUCCCCAACAUGGCUGCCUGGAAUAGCCUUGCAGAAGAAUCACUCACUUAUUCCUGCGGUGAUCACAUGUGACACGUUGACACGUAGGGCCUGACAGGUCAACCUUCCUGAGGAGUGGUACUGCACUCGUGUGCCGCAAGGGAAGGUCCUGGACUCAGAUGCAAGUCAUUUGUUUUUUCUUCAGAUGGAAAACUCAACUUCCUCUUAUGAACUCCUCAGCUGCUAACAACUGCAAAGAGUGAUAGAGCACAAGUCUUCUUCUAACCAAGAGGUUUUGCUGAGAGUGAUGCUUCAGGUCUUUGGUAUCUGCUCGGUGGCAUGGAAGACAUCCCAUUUUAGAUUGCCAUGCACAUCCCAGAAAAGUGGCAUAACUACCAAGCUUUGUUUGGGGUGGGCUGGGGGACAAGAAAGGAGAAGAAAGCAGAGGAGCUGGAGUAAGAUACUGUCCAACUCUAAAUGUUCUCCUCAAAAUGCCUCACACCGUAGCCCAGUAAUUUGAAGACUCCUCUCUGAGUUGAGUUGAUGAGAAUUAAGGUCUUAAUACUUUCUGUUCCUCCUGCCAGCAGGGGCUAUGCCCAGUGGAUAACUGGUUCUACAGGUACUCCGACCAGAAAUUCAUUUCACUUUACUGUAGAUAUGCUGUUGUUGAGAGCUUUUUUUCACAAACUGAUUUUUUCUGUUUGAAAAAUGGUUCCUCCUAAACAUUCCUAGCCAGCUCCACUCUAUAUUUGCUAAAGACGUGACUUCAAAUACAUUUUUGCAUUG